rnacentral:rRNA from 1 species
GAUGAACGCUGGCGGCGUGCUUAACACAUGCAAGUCGAACGGUGAAGCAGAGCUUGCUCUGUGGAUCAGUGGCGAACGGGUGAGUAACACGUGAGCAACCUGCCCCUGACUCUGGGAUAAGCGCUGGAAACGGCGUCUAAUACUGGAUAUGAGCUGCGACCGCAUGGUCAGCAGUUGGAAAGAUUUUUCGGUCUGGGAUGGGCUCACGGCCUAUCAGCUUGUUGGUGCGGUAAUGGCUCACCAAGGCGUCGACGGGUAGCCGGCCUGAGAGGGUGACCGGCCACACUGGGACUGAGACACGGCCCAGACUCCUACGGGAGGCAGCAGUGGGGAAUAUUGCACAAUGGGCGAAAGCCUGAUGCAGCAACGCCGCGUGAGGGAUGACGGCCUUCGGGUUGUAAACCUCUUUUAGCAGGGAAGAAGCGAAAGUGACGGUACCUGCAGAAAAAGCGCCGGCUAACUACGUG